rnacentral:rRNA from 1 species
UAAGUAGAUAGUGAAAGCCUGGGGGCUCAACCCCUUACACAUUAUCUAAACUGCCAAGCUAGAGGAUGGGAGAGGUUAUUGGAAUUUCUAGUGUAGGAGUGGAAUCCGUAGAUAUUAGAAGGAACACCGAUGGCGUAGGCAGAUAACUGGCUCAUUCCUGACACUAAGGCACGAAAGCGUGGGUAGCAAACGGGAUUAGAUACCCCGGUAGUCCACGCCGUAAACGAUGGAUGCUA